GCAAAAUUUUGCGGCUCGCACCAACUUAAUAAACGAAGUAUGCUAUAAAAAGGUGGUAGAAUCACUGAAGCAGGGCCACCAGGCAAUGAUUUUUGUUCAUUCACGCAGGGACACUAGCAAAACAGCAAAGACAAUGGACCCAUUGCAUUGAUUGCCUGGCAGAUCUACAUGAAAGACAGAGAGUGCCAAGUUAUGAAGCUUCAUCUUGCCUAGUUUCAGUUAACUAGUUUUUUGAAUGAUGCUCUUUUUGAUUGGAAUGGCUGGAGUACAAAGCAGUCAUAAGGUCCCUUAGCAGCUUCAAGUUUUGUAAGUUCUAUGUAGACACUUAGUAAGUUUCUAUCUUAUAAGUUCUACGUAGACUGUAAGUUUUGUAAGUUCUAUGUAGACAUUUAGUAAGUUUAUAUCUUAUAAGUUCUAUGUAGACAGUAAGUUUCUAUGUAUUCCCUAAGAAAUUUGAUACUUCAC